rnacentral:misc_RNA from 1 species
CAGAGUUGAAAGACUCCCUAAACCAUCGCUGAACCUUACCCUUAACCGUUGCUUCGGCGGGCGGGCUCCUUCAGCGCCCCACGUUGACCCCUGGUCCCCCUUCGCGGGGGGCGCCCGCCGGAGGAUCACCCAAACUCUUGACCUUAGCUGGCCUCUCUGAGUAUUCUGUACUGAAUUAAGUCA